rnacentral:rRNA from 1 species
GCAACGCGAAAACCUUACCCACCUUUGACAGUGGCAGGAAUCCUAAAGAGAUUUGGAGUGCUCGAAAGAGAACCUGCACACAGGUGCUGCAUGGCUGUCGUCAGCUCGUGUCGUGAGAUGUUGGGUUAAGUCCCGCAACGAGCGCAACCCUUGCCAUUAGUUGCUACGAAAGGGCACUCUAAUGGGACUGCCGGUGACGGACCGGAGGAAGGUGGGGAUGACGUCAAGUCCUCAUGGCCCUUAUAGGUGGGGGCUACACACGUCAUACAAUGGCCGGUACAGAGGGUAGCCAACCCGCGAGGGGGAGCCAAUCCCACAAAGCCGGUCGUAGUCCGGAUCGCAGUCUGCAACUCGACUGCGUGAAGUCGGAAUCGCUAGUAAUCGCGGAUCAGCAUGUCGCGGUGAAUACGUUCCCGGGUCUU